GACGAACGCUGGCGGCGUGCCUAAUACAUGCAAGUUGAGCGCUGAAGGUUGGUACUUGUACCAACUGGAUGAGCAGCGCACGGGUGAGUAACGCGUGGGGAAUCUGCCUUUUAGCGGGGGACAACAUUUGGAGACGAAUGCUAAUACCGCAUAAAAACUUUAAACACAAGUUUUAAGUUUGAAAGAUGCAAUUGCAUCACUCAAAGAUGAUCCCGCGUUGUAUUAGCUAGUUGGUGAGGUAAAGGCUCACCAAGGCGAUGAUACAUAGCCGACCUGAGAGGGUGAUCGGCCACAUUGGGACUGAGACACGGCCCAAACUCCUACGGGAGGCAGCAGUAGGGAAUCUUCGGCAAUAGACGAAAGUCUGACCGAGCAACGCCGCGUGAGUGAAGAAGGUUUUCGGAUCGUAAAACUCUGUUGGUAGAGAAGAACGUUGGUGAGAGUGGAAAGCUCAUCAAGUGACGGUAACUACCCAGAAAGGGACGGCUAACUACGUG
rnacentral:rRNA from 1 species